rnacentral:rRNA from 1 species
GACGAACGCUGGCGGCGUGCCUAAUACAUGCAAGUCGAGCGAAGUUUUUCUGGUGCUUGCACCGGAAAAACUUAGCGGCGAACGGGUGAGUAACACGUAAAGAACCUGCCUCAUAGACUGGGACAACUAUUGGAAACGAUAGCUAAUACCGGAUAACAGCAUUAACUGCAUGGUUGAUGUUUAAAAGUUGGUUUUGCUAACACUAUGAGAUGGCUUUGCGGUGCAUUAGCUAGUUGGUGGGGUAAAGGCCUACCAAGGCGACGAUGCAUAGCCGACCUGAGAGGGUGAUCGGCCACACUGGGACUGAGACACGGCCCAGACUCCUGCGGGAGGCAGCAGUAGGGAAUCUUCCGCAAUGGGCGAAAGCCUGACGGAGCAACGCCGCGUGAGUGAAGAAGGAUUUCGGUUCGUAAAGCUCUGUUGUUAGGGAAGAAUGAUUGUGUAGUAACUAUACACAGUAGAGACGGUACCUAACCAGAAAGCCACGGCUAACUACGUG